UUACUGUUCACAAAAUCCCUAAUUCACAGAAUUGGUUUUCUUCUCCAGCCUUCACCGAGUAGCCACGCAGCACCAGCGAUCCACCAUCGCAAACCAGCCCACGCAGCAGCAGCAGCAACUGUGCGCGCAGCCAGCUCCAUCCCACGCGUGCGCAUAUUCAGCCUUCACCGAGCAGCCACGCAGCAACCCGCGAGCGCAGAUCCAGCCUUUGCCUAGCAGCGCGCAGAACCAACGUCAGCCCAGCUCUCACGUGCAAUCAACCCCAGCGCGCAGAUCCAGCAACCCACUAGCGCAGCAGAACCAGCCCCAGUAGCGCGCAGCAUCCCGCACGCAACCAGCAUCACCAGCGCGCAACCAGCAAUCCCCCAGCGCGC
rnacentral:lncRNA from 1 species